AAGGUACAAAACUUUUCCUCUGUUAUGUAUAUGAGGAACUACACAUCUUGGAUAUGGAGGUACAAGAAACAUACACAAAGACUGCGUUCAGGUUAUUCAAGUGGUAGUAACAACUCAGUUCAUGUACCAUAACACAAACCUUCGUUUCAGAUUUUAGAAGCACAACACCGUCAAGGCCUUUAAGAGGAUUGGGAGCUUUGUCUUUGGUCACCUGGCAAUGAUACCAGAACAACUGUCGACAGAACAGCCAAGGCAUGGGAAGAUAAAUAGACCCCCACAACGACUUACCUGAGUUGGAGUUGGAGAGACGAAGAUGAAAAUUUCCUUGCAAAUGUAAUGAGGACUUGA